GCUGGAGUAGCUCAGUUGGUAGAGCAGCUGAUUUGUAAUCAGCAGGUCGGGGGUUCAAGUCCGUCCUCCAGCUCCA
rnacentral:tRNA from 1 species